rnacentral:rRNA from 1 species
GACGAACGCUGGCGGCGUGCUUAACACAUGCAAGUCGAACGGAAAGGCCUUGCUUUUGUGGUGUGCUCGAGUGGCGAACGGGUGAGUAACACGUGAGAAACCUGCCCUUGACUUUGGGAUAACGUCAGGAAACUGGGGCUAAUACCGGAUAGUAGCUCCUGCUGCAUGGGGGGGGUUGGAAAGUUUGGGCGGUUGGGGGUGGAGUCGCGGCUUAGCAGCUUGUUGGUGGGGUAGUGGCUGACCAAGGCUUUGACGGGUAGCCGGCCUGAGAGGGUGACCGGCGACACGGGGAAUGCGAUAACGCGCAGACGCCGACGGGAGGCAGGAGUGGGGAAUGGUGCACUAUGGGCGGAAGGCUGAGGCAGCGACGCCGCGUGCGGGAUGACGGCCUUCGGGUGGUAAACCGCUUUCGCCUGUGACGAAGCGUGAGUGACGGUAGUGGGUGAAGAAGCACCGGCUAACUACGUG